AACGAACGCUGGCGGCAUGCCUAACACAUGCAAGUCGAACGAGAACUUCCGGUCUGCUGGCUUAUGGGUGCGUAAAGGGUGGGAACCUGCCCUUAGGUUCGGCAUAACUCCCCGAAAGAGGUGCUAAUACCGGGGAAUAUCUUCGGACCAAAGAUUUAUCGCGUUUGGUUGGGCCCGCGUUGGUUUAGCUAGUGGGUAGGCUAAAAGCCUACCACGGCGACGAUCCAUAGCUGGUCUGAGAGGAUGAUCAGCCACACUGGGACUGAGACACGGCCCAGACUCCUACGGGAGGGAGGAGUGGGGAACAAUGGGCACUGGGCGGAAGCAGGAUCCAGCAGUGCGGGGUGAGUGAUGAAGGCUUGAGGGCUGUAAAGCCCUUUUACCCGGGAUGAUAAGGACGGUCCCGGGAGAAUAGGCCCCGCCUACCUCCGG
rnacentral:rRNA from 1 species